rnacentral:rRNA from 1 species
GGAGUCUGGGCCGUGUCUCAGUCCCAAUGUGGCCGUUCACCCUCUCAGGCCGGCUAUGCAUCAUCGCCUUGGUGGGCCGUUACCUCACCAACUAGCUAAUGCACCGUAAGCCCAUCUACUUGUGUUUCAAACCUUUAAUAAUAAGAAGAUGCCUUCUCAUUACCUAUCCGGUAUUAGCGCCCGUUUCCAGGUGUUAUCCCAGUCCGUGUAGGCAGGUUGCUUACGUAUUACUCACCCGUUCGCCACUCGCUAAAUCCAGCAAGCUGGAUCUCGCUCGUUCGACUUGCAUGUAUUAGGCACGCCGCCAGCGUUCAUC